UACAGAGGUCCCAGGCGUUGUUCGGAAUUACUGGGCGUAAAGAGUGUGUAGGCGGUGUUCUAAGUUUGGUGUGAAAUCUCCCGGCUCAACUGGGAGGGUGCGCCGAAAACUGGAAUGCUAGAGUAUGGGAGAGGUAAGCGGAAUUCCUGGUGUAGCGGUGAAAUGCGCAGAUAUCAGGAAGAACACCCGUGGCGAAGGCGGCUCUCUGGGACGGUACUGACGCUGAGACGCGAAAGCGUGGGGAGCGAACAGG
rnacentral:rRNA from 1 species